rnacentral:rRNA from 1 species
AUUGAACGCUGGCGGAAUGCUUUACACAUGCAAGUCGAACGGCAGCACGGACUUCGGUCUGGUGGCGAGUGGCGAACGGGUGAGUAAUACAUCGGAACGUGCCCAAUCGUGGGGGAUAACGUAGCAAAAGCUACGCUAAUACCGCAUACGAUCUAAGGAUGAAAGCGGGGGAUCGCAAGACCUCGCGCGCUUGGAGCGGCCGAUGGCAGAUUAGGUAGUUGGUAGGGUAAAGGCCGACCAAGCCGACGAUCUGUAGCUGGUCUGAGAGGAUGAUCAGCCACACUGGGACUGAGACACGGCCCAGACUCCUACGGGAGGCAGCAGUGGGGAAUUUUGGACAAUGGACGCAAGUCUGAUCCAGCCAUUCCGCGUGCGGGAUGAAGGCCCUCGGGUUGUAAACUGCUUUUGUACAGAACGAAAAGACUCUGGUUAAUACCUAGGGCUCAUGACGGUACUGUAAGAAUAAGCACCGGCUAACUACGUGCCAGCAGCCGCAGUAA